GCUGCCCCUAGAAGCAUUACAGAUAUGACUGUUGUGUCACAUGUGUGUCAUUAGGUGGCAAAGAGAAGAGAGGCUUGUGUAUGUCCAGUGCUCUGAUUUGUGAGUCACUGGGUAAUUGAUAGUCUGACACU
ensembl:snoRNA